UUAUAAUUCUGUCAUUUUAUUUGCGUUUUGGUGCAUGUUUUGUUGUAUUUCGUAUGUUAUUUAUGUGACAGUGUAAUUAAUUAGUACUUUCUUUUAGGUGUUUAAUGCCUUCCGUACUUAAUAGUGUAAUUAAUACGUUGUUUUGUUCAUUUCUGCAGAUUGUUCAACAAAUGGGAAAGAAUUAAAGUUCAGUUUGGUCCUACUGAAACAACCAAUGUCUACAUGGGCAUGAUCUUUCCUGGAUUGUUCUUUUGAUUAGCUGUUUACAUCUUUGCCUUGCAACAUUAUGAAGUUAAUUUUCUGCGAUGGUAUUCCUGCCGUAUUUGUUUUGAUUUUUACACCUGUAAACUUUGGAACGUUACGUUCUACAAUUAAUUAAGAUUAGUCAACAAUUAAGAGAGAUUUGAACUUAUAUCCUUUGCUUACUGAAAAGAUAAGUCAAAUCCUAUGGUGUUUUAGCUGUUAACCUUUCAUCUGGAAGGUUCUUGUAGUUAAUUAAGGAACAUCAUAAGAACUCCGGAUACCAUUAAAUUAUGAAAUUAUCAAGCAUUGGUUGUAUUAGUAAUUAUUUGACCCAGAAAGUAGCUAUGCCCAUGGUUCUAAAGAAAGCAUGAAAGUGCCUUUUUUUUAUUGGGAAUGAAGACAGUGUGCUAAAAAGGAUUUAUGACAAUGAACUGAUUGUUGUCCCAUAAAUAAGAAGGAAUUGCAGUUAAU